rnacentral:lncRNA from 1 species
GAGUGACGUGAGCGGAAGCUGGGAAACUAGGUGAGUGAAGCCAGGUAAGUUGAGAACCAAAGCCAAAAGUGUUAACGACCUGUUCACGUCCAGAGCUCACGGCCCUGCACCGUAGGGAAUCGCGUAGUGUAGACCUGGGAUAGCAGAACGGGGAGGAAUUUAGGGGAAGGUAAAACGCCGGCCAGCCGUGUGCCGCGCGGGGCAUCUUGGGAGAGUCAGCAGCACAGCAGCUGGAACCAUAGCUCAGAAACCUCCCAAGUCAAAGGAGCUACGGGGCUGGGAAGGGGCCGGAAGAGAGCAGGGCGUGAUCAGUUUUUCUGGUGUUCAUAAGUAAGCUGGCUCGAUAUAUUUUAGUGCAUAUAAACUGAAAUAAUCCUGAUGUGUUUUUCAUUGACCAAAUGAUUGCCAAAAUAUUCAAAAUAGUAGAAUAGUAGAAUAUUUUAGUUUAUCUACUGAAGUUUGCAAACCAGUUCUCUUUGUUGAGAUAAAGGAUAAAGCUCUUUAAAUUUACUUACAUCCAUGCUAACUCCACUGUUAUACCCAGGACAUACUUGGUGACUUAACAUCCCCAGAGAGCUUUUAGCUAUUACUCAUGAAAGGAAUGGCUGGAAAUGUAACUGAAUCUCAGCGUAUAUUUGUUGCGAGUUUCGUAGAUAUAGUUGUAAAUAUAACUAGAAGUGAUUGUCAUCACUUCUUCCUCUCCUUCUAGUCUCUCACUCCUCCACUACCUUCCUCCCCCUAUCCUACACCUUCCUCUCUUUAUCCUCAGAGAAGGGAAAGCCUCCUGUGGAUAUCCACCCUCCUUGGCAUAUCAAGAUGCAGUGGGAUUAGGCACUGCACUGAGGCUAUUGAGGCUAGACAAGGCAGCCCAGUUAGGGAAAGGGGAUCCAAAGGCAGUCAACAGAGUCAGAGACAGCCUCUGCUCCAGUUGUUAGGGGACCAACAUGAUAACCAAGUUGCACAUCUGCUACAGUUCACAGUUAGAAAGGACAUUAUAAACCAGUUUUUAAUCCUUUAAUCCCUGUAUCCUAUAACCCUUUAAUCCUUUAAUCACAAGCCUUUAAUGCCUACACUUAGGAAACUGAGGCAAUUGGAUCUGGGAGUUCCUUGCCACCCUGGUACAUAAAGGGAGUUUAAGGACAGCUAGAACCACAGAGAAAUGUCAGUGGGAAGAGGGAGAAGGAAAAGG